CACAGAUGAGGUAGUUGGUUGUAUUGUUUUACACCUUCGGCGAUAACUAUACAGCCAGCUAACUUUACUGUG
rfam:Ciona savignyi cont_64472, whole genome shotgun sequence.